GUCCCUAUCGUCUAGAGGCCUAGAACAUCGCCCUUUCACGGCGGUAACCGGGGUUCGAAUCCCCGUAGGGACGCCA
rnacentral:tRNA from 1 species